CCUACGGGUGGCAGCAGUGAGGAAUAUUGGUCAAUGGCCGCAGGGCUGAACCAGCCAAGUCGCGUGAGGGAUGAAGGUCCUAUGGAUUGUAAACCUCUUUUGUCAGGGAGCAAAGGGCGCCACGUGUGGCGUUUUGCGAGUACCUGAAGAAAAAGCAUCGGCUAACUCCGUGCCAGCAGCCGCGGUAAUACGGAGGAUUCAAGCGUUAUCCGGAUUUAUUGGGUUUAAAGGGUGCGUAGGCGGUUCGAUAAGUUAGAGGUGAAAUCCCGGGGCUCAACUCCGGCACUGCCUGUGAUACUGGCGGGCUAGAGUUUAGUUGCGGUAGGCGGAAUGUAUGGUGUAGCGGUGAAAUGCAUAGAGAUCAUACAGAACACCGAUUGCGAAGGCAGCUUACCAAACUACGACUGACGUUGAGGCACGAAAGCGUGGGGAGCAAACAGGAUUAGAUACCCCUGUAGUC
rnacentral:rRNA from 1 species